rnacentral:rRNA from 1 species
AGGUUAAGUUAAUAAGGGCGCACGGUGGAUGCCUUGGCACUAGGAGCCGAAGAAGGACGUGACAAACGACGAUAUGCCUUGGGUAGCUGUAAGUAAGCGAUGAUCCAGGGAUUUCCGAAUGGGGGAACCCAACAGGUACUACCUGUUACCCAUAUCUGUUAAGGAUAUGAGGAGGAAGACGCAGUGAACUGAAACAUCUAAGUAGCUGCAGGAAGAGAAAGCAAAAGCGAUUGCCUUAGUAGCGGCGAGCGAAACGGCAGAAGGGCAAACCGAAGAGUUUACUCUUCGGGGUUGUAGGACUGCAAUGUGGACUCAAAGACUAUAGAAGAAUGGUUUGGGAAAAUCAGCCAAAGAGAGUGAUAGCCUCGUAUUCAAAAUAGUCUUUGUACCUAGCAGUAUCCUGAGUACGGCGGGACACGUGAAAUCCCGUCGGAAUCUGGGAGGACCAUCUCCCAACCCUAAAUACUCCCUAGUGACCGAUAGUGAACCAGUACCGUGAGGGAAAGGUGAAAAGCACCCCGGGAGGGGAGUGAAAUAGAACCUGAAACCGUGUGCCUACAACAAGUUCGAGCCCGUUAAUGGGUGAGAGCGUGCCUUUUGUAGAAUGAACCGGCGAGUUACGAUAUGAUGCGAGGUUAAGUUGAAGAGACGGAGCCGUAGGGAAACCGAGUCUGAAUAGGGCGCCUUAGUAUCAUGUCGUAGACCCGAAACCAUGUGACCUACCCAUGAGCAGGUUGAAGGUGCGGUAAGACGCACUGGAGGACCGAACCAGGGCACGUUGAAAAGUGCUUGGAUGACUUGUGGGUAGCGGAGAAAUUCCAAACGAACUUGGAGAUAGCUGGUUCUCUCCGAAAUAGCUUUAGGGCUAGCGUCGACAUUAGAGAUUCUUGGAGGUAGAGCACUGUUUGGG